CGGGGUGAGUAACGCGUGGAGAACCUGCCGUAUACUGGGGGAUAACACUUAGAAAUAGGUGCUAAUACCGCAUAAGCGCACAGCUUCGCAUGAAGCAGUGUGAAAAACUCCGGUGGUAUACGAUGGAUCCGCGUCUGAUUAGCUUGUUGGCGGGGUAAAGGCCCACCAAGGCGACGAUCAGUAGCCGGACUGAGAGGUUGGCCGGCCACAUUGGGACUGAGAUACGGCCCAGACUCCUACGGAAGGCAGCAG
rnacentral:rRNA from 1 species